UACGUAGGGGGCUAGCGUUGUCCGGAAUCAUUGGGCGUAAAGAGCGUGUAGGCGGCCCGGUAAGUCCGCUGUGAAAGUCAAAGGCUCAACCUUUGAAAGCCGGUGGAUACUGUGGGGCUAGAGUCCGGAAGAGGCGAGUGGAAUUCCUGGUGUAGCGGUGGAAUGCGCAGAUAUCAGGAGGAACACCAAUAGCGAAGGCAGCUCGCUGGGACGGUACUGACGCUAAGGCGCGAAAGCGUGGGGAGCGAACAGG
rnacentral:rRNA from 1 species